rnacentral:snoRNA from 1 species
GGAUACAUGUGUGGAGAAUAUCUUGAGUAGAUGUGAUGAUAUAAAAAUCAUGCUCAGUAGGAUUAUGCUGAGGCCC